rnacentral:lncRNA from 1 species
GUAAGAUUACAGCUUUUCUUUAAAAGGGAUUGAGCUGGCUAUAAAUUGCAGUAUAAAUUCAGAUUUAUUCUGUUUCACCGUUUAAUUCUUGGAAAAGACUACUCAUAAAAAUUCUCUAAUGGCAUUAUUGGUAUUAUGCAUUAAGAGCUAGAAAAAUAGGUCAACAUUUUAGACGUAUUUCUGGUGGCGCAUUUUGCUAUUAGUCUACAAGGAUUAUAGCAGAUCACUAUCUUUAAAUGACAUUGCAACUUGAGGCUCAAAUUCGAUGAUCCUGGGAAAGUUGAAAUUUAGUGCCCUGUUUUGAGGUUAAACUAUGGCUGCAAGUAAUUUCUAGAAAACUGACAUCCUGAUAGACUUGAAAAAUAAAAAAAAAAGAAAGAGGAAACAAAUUAAAAUUGUUCUAUCAGGCUUUGCCAGGGUCUAGAAAUCCUAAUUUAUAAUGAAAUUGGAGGUGAGCUAAGAUAGCAAUAGAAUGAGAAGUUAGGAAAGGGAAGAAAUUGACCAGGAACAGUGAAUAUACUGCUUACAUUAUCUUACAUCAGAAUUCAGGAGUCUCCAACAUUCAUUAACUAAAUUCUCUCUUUUGUGUUUACUCUGAUAGUUUUGUAGUUGUGAUAAUAUUAUAGAUAUAGUCUAGUUGUUGACAUUUGGAGGUAAGAGUAUCUCCAACCUGGGUCAGGUAGCAGUUUAGUAAAGUAUUUUCUCUUCAUUAAGACGAGAGGUGUUACCAAAUGGAAUAAGUAUUUGACUUUUCUGUGUGACCACAUGAUAUAGGUGUUAAAUAGGUUUGUCUUCAGAUGCAAACAUCAGAAAACCUGACUAAAAUCCCUCAGGAUUGAUGGGGUUUACUUUUUCUAAAUAGUGCUAAGUCUGAAGGUAGGUGGCUCUGAGCAUUUAGGGGUUUAGACAUGUGAACUCUCCUUCCUGGUUGCAAGUAGCAAUCCUGGCUUAAUCAAGUUUAUACUCAAGGCAGAAAGAAGAGAGAAUGGAUGACAAAAGCUUCCCCAGAACCCACAUGUGGAGUUUUCCUAUGUCUCAUUAGCCAGAACUGGGUUAUGUUGGCAAGCCCUUGCUGAAGCAGAGACCAGGAAGGUGAAGAUUUAGUUUUUCUGCUCAUACUGUGGAAGGUGAAAGGAAUGGAGGUUAGGGAGGGUAUAGAAUUAGCAAGCCAAGAGUUCCUAUGUAAUGCCAACGUGUAAGUAGGAUCUAUAAAUAUUAAAUCUAAGAAAACAAACUUUAGUAGAACAUACCAAGAAGGACUAACUAAUCAUCACGGCUGCCCAGAACUGCAAUGGGCUCCCCAGUAGGUAAUUCAUUCCCUAUCAGAGCAUAUGUUUAAACACUGGGUGAAUGAGCAUUUGACCGAUUUACUGUGGAGAAGAUUUAAACAUUAGAUAGAUAAGUGGUUGAACUUUAUGUCUUCAAAGUUGUCUUCAAAUCCUCAGGAUUUUAUGAUACUCUGUAAGCAUUCCAAUUGCUUGCAAUUUGAAAAUUGUUUUUUCUUUGUGGUUCGCUUUUCUGUCAAAGUGUCUGUUCAUAUCCUUUGCCCACUUUUUGAUGGGGUUGUUUUUUAAACUUUAAUGUUCACAUGUCAUCCCAGGAUCUUGUUAAAAUAUAGACCUGAGUCAAUAGGUCUGGGGGGGGAUCUGAGAUUCUGCAUAUCCAAUAA